AUCACCACAGUCGGCACUCCAUUGGCACUCGGGCUCCAACUGGCAGUGGAAGCCAUCGCCUCUGUAGCCUCGCUCGCAUACACACUCAGAUUUGUCCAACUGCUCCUGAUACUGGCAACUAGCGUGCGGAUCGCAGAUGUCAGGCCGCUAAGAAAUUAGCACAGGAAUCGUCGAUGGGGUCGCAGUUGUAGCCGUCGCCACUCAGACCAGGAUUGCAGGUGCAAAUAUGACGCAGCUCUUGUUCGUACCAAGCGCAGGUGGCAUUGAUGUGACAAUUGGCGUCAACGUCGCAGGGAACUGUAGAAACGAAUUUUACAAAAAAUGAUUUCUUGGUUUAGCCCAAACGCUGGAGACUCACCCAAAUCCUCGGACGGCUCGACUGGAUAGUGCAGUAUGUAACGGCAUGUCCUGGAAUCUUCGCUCGUGCUCAUCUAGAAGCAGGGGCACGCAGCGGCCGUGUUCCCAUACCUCGUCAUGGCCACAGAUAUUGACGCAACUGUAGCCGUUGCCCGAGAAUCCACUGCGGCAUAUACAACGACCUUCAUAGCAAUCGGCAUCAGGGGCACAACGCUGGAAAGACAAAAAUAGGCGCCGUUAUUGAAAUCUUUAAAUACAGUUACCUAUAGGUAAUCUCAAUAACAACAACAGUUUGAGUUUAAAAAUAACAGAAA